CAAGCUAGAGGGUGCGUGGGUCCUCUUUAACGAGAUACUCAGUUUGCAAUGCAUCAUGGAUGUGUCUUCGAAUGAAGAUCAUUGCAGUAACCUUUUAAGCUUCAUCAACAGGUUUGUCGGUGAUAGGUGCCUCGAUGGUGGCUCUAAUGCCCUUUGUAGUCUUUUAGAGCGGAGAAAUUGAGCUUGUUUAAGUUUGACAUGUCCCUAAAAUAGAGGGAAAAACGUGAGUAGUCAUAUGGUAAGCCAUAGACAUAUAUCGCAGUAUAUACAGGUUCUAUAGACAUGUAUUGGUUUAACUGAUGCAUAAAAACUACAGGUUUCAUGUGGUAUGUUUUGAAUGAAAACUUUGGGUUUCAAGGGCACUAAAUUUGAAACUACAGGUUCAAUUAGUUUUAUGAACAAUUAGUUCAUAAUAAGAGGUUCCUGCAAGAAACACAUAAUGCAUAUACUAAUUUGAAUAUAGUGUAUUUAAGGUUCUUCAGGAACUCAAGUGUGAGAGCUUCGUUACUACGAAAGUAUGUGACGGCUCAAAGUAUAAAAAUAAAUUAUUGAAUCGUUAAUGUCUAAAAGUGAUCUUCAGGUCAAUAAUUUUGGAUUCAUUAUCAGAUUAAUGGACUGCAGGUCACUUUUAAUUAAUUCAAUAAAUCGAGUCAUACAGGGUCGAUUGUAGAAGCUAAAUAAUAUGAACAUAUGGGUUAAAAUUAUUUAGAAUGCUAAAAUAAUGGCAUUUGGGUAAAAAAAUAUUGCCCCAAAAAUAAUUGGGGCUCGGGU
rnacentral:lncRNA from 1 species